GUCCGAGUGGUGCAGUGGUUAGCAUGUCGCUCUUAUAUUUCCUUGCUGAUGUCUGGAACACCACGUCCAGACGUCGUUAGCGAGGUCAUCAUGCCAUGCGGAGAUCGCGAGUUCAAUCCUCGCCUUGGACA